AUUGAACGCUGGCGGCAGGCCUAACACAUGCAAGUCGAACGAGUUGCGGACGUGUGAGUAAUGUCUGGGAAACUGCCUGAUGGAGGGGGAUAACUACUGGAAACGGUAGCUAAUACCGCAUACCAUCAGAUGUGCCCAGAUGGGAUUAGCUUGUUGGUGGGGUAAAGGCUCACCAAGGCGACGAGCCCUAGCUGGUCUGAGAGGAAGACUGGCCACACUGGAACUGAGACACGGUCCAGACUCCUACGGGAGGCAGCAGUGGGGAAUAUUGCACAAUGGGCGCGAGCCUGAUGCAGCCAUGCAGCGUGUAUGAAGAAGGCCUUCGGGUUGUAAAGUACUUUCAGCGGGGAGGCGUUACCCGAAGAAGAAGCACCGGCUAACUCCGUGCCAGCCGCCGCGGUAAUUC
rnacentral:rRNA from 1 species